UUCUGCUUGGAACUGUAAGGGCUUAUCCAGUGUUUUCAUACCAUUUCUCCAAUUUGUCCAGCUUGUUUGAGUUUCCACCCCUGUCAUUAAUAUACUUGCAUCUCUUCCCAUCUUAGUGUUUUGUAGAGCUUUAACAGUACAGAUUCCAGUUGCACCUACCAGGAUGUUAUAAAAGCAUUUUGAACAUAGCCAGAUCCACGACAAUUGUAGUGAAAAUGCUAAGUCACGGCUUGAACCAGUGAUUGAGCACCUGGUGGGAAGGCAGGGCCAACCCAGGGGAGCUCAGGUGCAUGCAGUGCACUGAGUGACCAGAACAAGUGGAGCCAGGAUCCACUCCUUGCCAGACUUCAUUUAAGGGUUGGCAGUGGAGGUGAGGGUCUCUUGCUAGAGAUCUUUAUAUGCUUAAGGUCUUCUGAAGGGUUUUUCUGGCAUUUGAAGAUAACCAUGAGAGGUUCUGACAUUACUUCUGCCACCUCCUUGUUUGGGUUCCUGAGAUAAAUCCAUCAGGCUCAGGCAGUGUGAAAACUUCGGAAUACCUUCAGUGUGCUGACAUUUCCUUUUGUGCUUCUGGGGAGAGAUCCCAAUGCUCUAUUGCUGCUGCUGCUUACAUCUGCCAUUGUCCACCCUUCAGCUUUUCACUCAGAUACACAAAAUAAGGCACUGACUGUUUUAGCCUUUUUUCUUUUUGUGCUGAUGACUUUUAUUUUCACUUGCCAGAAAAUCAGUGCUUUGCUUGGUUCCCUUCUCUCUGUGCAUUGUUGUAAUUGACUCCUGCUAGUCCUGAUGUUACUUGUUCAAUCUCAUCCCAAGCCUUUGCAGAGAGAAAGCUUUAAAACAGUAUGCUUAUGUCAUUUUCAUGCUUGCCUUAGCAGCCUGAUCCUUCUUAUAGGCACCUUUUCUGUAUUUUAAACUGAAUGACGAACUCAUGACUUCUUCCCACUUUCCCAAACUUUCUCCCAUGUCUCUGGUUGGCUCACCAAGUUGUUAUUCUAAGUCUGCUAAUGCCCCUGCUCAAUUCAGAGUUGGAAAAUAUGAAAUUUUAUUGUUUCUUUGUGGUCUGAUGCUGCCCUCUUUCUUAGAGAAUAAGACAAAUGUUCAUUAAGGGAUAGGGCAGAGCAGCUGUUGCAUUCCCCUCUGGUGCUGGCUUUUCUUGCAGUCUAGCUGCAGGAGCAGUACAGACAUGUUAUGUGACUCUUCCCAGGGAAGGUUUUCCUGGGCUUUCCUAACAGCAAGGGCAAAGAAAAGGGGGGGGGGUUUCAUGAACAAACACAGACCUAAAACUCAAUGCUGGGAAAACUCUGUGAUGUUUGCUUACAGUGCAGCCCUUUAUGUUUUCAGGCCCAUUUUAACAGCCUGAAAACAUAUUCGGGUGCUCAAAUUUAAUUACCCAUUUGAGUAAUUAAAGUGAUUACAGCUGUCUCAAAAGCUUUUCUCUCUGUUUUACAGUGAACAAAUGAGUCUUCUUACACAAUCACAGCUAUGGGGUCACGCAUUUUGGUACUCCGAGGCAGAAAAUACCUCUUAAAAUUCUCCGAAAUGCAGCUGUCUACUCUUCCGUUGCUUGAUGCAGUAUCUUUUUUUUUUUUCCUGACCAUGUGUUCAAUGCACGGGGACCAUUCAACGGUGCUCUUCCACUGCCACCUUCUGGCCGCGGGCAGUGGGACAUCAGCUGCACGACCCAUUGGAGUUGACCUGAUACGAGCAGGGUGGUAAUGAAAGGAUGGAUGAACCUGAAAAGCUAAUAAACAAGCGAUUCAGUUUUUCCUUUCCUUCUGCAGAAGGAAGAAAAAAAAAAAACAAAAAACAAAACAACACCACCAACACACAAGAAUGAAAACCAGAACACAAGCAGCAAAAAAAUACCUCACACUGUAACUGUCUCCAGUUGGCCAGAACUCAAAAUCUAAGGGUCAAUUUUGCAUAUACAAAAUGAAAAUUUCCCCCCAAAUACUUUUACUCAUUUUAGAAAAUCCUGAUGUGUGGAGGAAAAGGUGUAUGGGUCUCUACUGUAUGUUGCAGUCUGGGGCUUUAGUGAAAAUCCUGCUGUUUUGACCUAGACAACGUGAGAUAACCACAGCAAAGGCAUUUUUGGUCAGACAUGUCUCACUUCUGAGCUGU